CAGUCGCCGCGGGAAUACGUAGGUGGCGAGCGUUGUCCGGAAUUAUUGGGCGUAAAGGGAGCGCAGGCGGACAUAUAAGUCCAUCUUAAAAGUGCGGGGCUCAACCCCGUGAGGGGAUGGAAACUGUAUGCCUUGAGUGCAGGAGAGGAAAGCGGAAUUCCCAGUGUAGCGGUGAAAUGCGUAGAUAUUGGGAGGAACACCAGUGGCGAAGGCGGCUUUCUGGACUGCAACUGACGCUGAAGCUCGAAAGCGUGGGGAGCAAACAGGAUUAGAUACCCCAGUAGUCCCUGUCUCUUAUACA
rnacentral:rRNA from 1 species